AAUCCCACCAAAGGGGAGUAGCGUCCGGUUUUUACCGGAAACAAAGUCGUCAUUACAUGGAACAUCAUUCCAUCGGCUUUGUUGGCAUGAUUUACAUAUCACAUGUC
rnacentral:sRNA from 2 species